GAUGAACGCUAGCUACAGGCUUAACACAUGCAAGUCGAGGGGAAACGAUAGAGAAAGCUUGCUUUUUCUAGGCGUCGACCGGCGCACGGGUGAGUAACGCGUAUCCAACCUGCCCAUCACUUGGGGAUAACCUUGCGAAAGUAAGACUAAUACCCAAUGACGUCUCUAGAAGACAUCUGAAAGAGAUUAAAGAUUUAUCGGUGAUGGAUGGGGAUGCGUCUGAUUAGCUUGUUGGCGGGGUAACGGCCCACCAAGGCGACGAUCAGUAGGGGUUCUGAGAGGAAGGUCCCCCCACAUUGGAACUGAGACACGGUCCAAACUCCUACGGGAGGCAGCAGUGAGGAAUAUUGGUCAAUGGACGAGAGUCUGAACCAGCCAAGUAGCGUGCAGGAUGACGGCCCUAAUGGGUUGUAAACUGCUUUAUAAGGGAAUAAAGUGAGUCUCGUGAGACUUUUUGCAUGUACCUUAUGAAUAAGGACCGGCUAAUUCCGUAGCCAGCAGCC
rnacentral:rRNA from 1 species